rnacentral:rRNA from 1 species
UGGGGAAUAUUGCACAAUGGGGGAAACCCUGAUGCAGCGACGCCGCGUGGAGGAAGAAGGUCUUCGGAUUGUAAACUCCUGUUGUUGGGGAAAAAGAGGAUGGUACCCAACAAGGAAGUGACGGCUAACUACGUGCCAGCAGCCGCGGUAAAACGUAGGUCACAAGCGUUGUCCGGAAUUACUGGGUGUAAAGGGAGCGCAGGCGGGUAUGCAAGUUGGGAGUGAAAUACAUGGGCUCAACCCAUGAACUGCUUUCAAAACUGUGUAUCUUGAGUAGUGCAGAGGUAGGCGGAAUUCCCGGUGUAGCGGUGGAAUGCGUAGAUAUCGGGAGGAACACCAGUGGCGAAGGCGGCCUGCUGGGCACCAACUGACGCUGAGGCUCGAAAGUGUGGGUAGCAAACA